CCUACGGGAGGCAGCAGUGGGGGAUAUUGCACAAUGGGGGAAACCCUGAUGCAGCGACGCCGCGUGGGUGAAGAAGCGCCUCGGCGCGUAAAGCCCUGUCAGCAGGGAAGAAAAUGACGGUACCUGAAGAAGAAGCCCCGGCUAACUACGUGCCAGCAGCCGCUGUAAUACGGGGGGGGCAAGCGUUAUCCGGAUUUACGGGGUGUAUAGGGGGCGCAGACGGCGAUGCAAGCCAGGAGGGAAAGCCCGGGGGCCAACCCCGGGACUGCUGUUGGAACUGCGUGGCUAGAGUGCAGGAGGGGCAGGCGGAAUUCCUGGUGUAGCGGUGAAAUGCAUAGAUAUCAGGAGGAACACCGGUGGCGAAGGCGGCCUGCUGGACUGCAACUGACGUUGAGGCCCGAAAGCGUGGGGAGCAAACAGGAUUAGAUACCCUUGUAGUC
rnacentral:rRNA from 1 species